rnacentral:tRNA from 1 species
GCGGGUGUGGUUCAAUGGUAGAACUUCAGCCUUCCAAGCUGAUAACGCGGGUUCGAUUCCCGUCACCCGCU